ACGCCUAAAAUGUCCGUAUCCUGCACAGCACUCUGAGAGCCUCUCCCCGCUUUCUGGUAUUGUGACUCCCUAGUGCUAUUCACAUCUUUAAAACUCUGCGAGUCUUGAAAGAGGAACUCCAACAUUUCUGUCCAGAGAAGCCUCAGGGAGGUGGGAAGGAGGAGGAGAAGUGAGCGGGAACGUAGAGAGCGAGGGGUCGGGGUUUCCGAGGGACACAUUUUGAGAUUGCACCCGGCUAAGGAUGGCUGAUCCUACCCCUCAGCUAGAUGCGCCAGCUCCCCAGGAAGUCAGUAGCGAGUUUAAGAAGCCGGUUUUACCAGUGCCUUCCGCAGUACGGGGUAAGGCUCCGGCCUCCAGUCCCUCCGUUUCUGAGGAUGUGAAGAAAGAAUGUCUCGCGGCGCAGCUGGACUCUGGAUGUGAGGAGCCCGAGGUCCCGCCACCGCAGCCGGACAGCCAGGAGACCGGGGGUCCACCGGUGGAGCAACUCCGCUCCCCGCGGGUAGCUCCUGCGUCUGGCGGUCCGACCCGGGCUCCUCCGUACCGAGAGCCAUCGUGGGGCAGCCCAGCCACGGCCCCCUACAGUCUCGAAACCCUGAAGGGUGGCACCAUCCUUGGCACCCGCACCUUGAAAGACACGAGCUGCUGCUUUUUCGGGAGACUUGCUAGUUGUGACAUAUGUCUGGAGCAUCCUUCCGUGUCUCGGUACCAUGCUGUACUACAGCACCGGGGGGCGGAUCCCAGCGGAGACUCUGAGGGUCAUGAGCAGGGCUUUUAUCUCUACGAUCUGGGAAGUACCCACGGCACGUUCCUCAACAAAACUCGCAUCCCACCCCGCACUUACUGUAGAGUCCACGUCGGGCAUGUAAUGCGCUUUGGAGGCAGCACUCGGCUCUUUAUCCUUCAGGGACCAGAGGAAGACCGAGAGGCAGAAUCUGAAUUAACAGUAACACAGUUGAAGGAAUUGCGUAAACAGCAGCAGAUAUUAUUGGAGAAGAAGAUGUUAGGUGAAGACUCAGAUGAAGAAGAAGAAGCAAAUACCACUGAAGGGAAGAGCAGUAGAAGUGGUCAAGAUGAUGAGCUGGGCUGCACGUGGGGAAUGGGAGAAGAUGCUGUGGAGGAUGAAGCUGAAGAGAACCCCAUUGCCUUAGAUUUUCAGCAGGACCGGGAAGCGUUUUAUAUAAAGGAUCCAAAGAAGGCUCUUCAAGGCUUCUUUGACCGAGAAGGAGAAGAGUUAGAAUAUGAAUUUGAUGAGCAAGGACACAGCACUUGGCUCUGCAGGGUGAGGUUACCUGUAGAUGAUUCAACUGGGAAACAGCUGGUGGCUGAGGCCAUUCACUCAGGAAAGAAAAAGGAAGCAAUGGUACAGUGCUCGCUGGAAGCCUGCCGGGUCCUUGAUACACUGGGCUUGCUACGGCAGGAAGCAGUAUCUCGGAAAAGGAAAGCCAAGAACUGGGAAGAUGAGGAUUUUUAUGAUAGUGACGAUGAUACAUUCCUCGAUCGGACUGGCCUGGUAGAGAAGAAGCGCCUGAACCGGAUGAAGAAGGCUGGGAAGCUUGAUGAGAAGCCAGAAACUUUUGAGUCACUGGUUGCAAAGUUAAAUGAUGCCGAAAGGGAACUCGCCGAAAUUUCUGAAAGGCUCAAGGCUUCAAGCAAAGGACUGAACUUCAGACUACAAAUGCAGAAAACAAAACUAAGAAACUUGCAUUGCCUCUCUUUGGUGCCAUGAAAGGAGGAAGCAAAUUCAAAUUAAAAACUGGGACAGUAGGGAAGUUGCCACCCAAGCGUCCAGAACUCCCUCCAGCUUUAAUGCAAAUGAAGGAUGAACCUGAAGUAGAGGAGGAGGAGGAAGAGGAAGAGGAGGAGGAGGAGAAAGUGAAGGAGGAGCAUGAAGAACGAGUGGAGGAUGGAGGUGUCAGGCUUCUUCAGGAGCCUGAGCUGGAGCUGGAAGCAGCAGUGGAGCACCCGAGUGCUCCCUCAGAGCCCUCGUGCUCCAAGGAGACUAAAAGCCAUGAAAGUAUAUCUCAACUCAGCCAAGUGGAGCAGAGUAAAGAUUAUCAAGAGAUGGGCAAAAUAGUGUCGUCAUGUGAGGACCCUUCAGCAGCACCAGCGAAUGAAUAUAAACAAGACAGAGAUGAGCCGAAGAAAAAGAAAUCUCCUGGGCCUGGCAAAUUUCCACCCAUCCUUUCUUCCAAAUAUCCUGAGGAUGACCCAGACUACUGUAUAUGGGUCCCACCUGAAGGUCAAAGUGGAGAUGGCAGAACCCAUCUUAAUGACAAGUAUGGCUACUGAUUGGCUCAGAGUCCCAAAGGAAGACCAUGUGGACCGCAGGAUGUUUGGGAGGAAACAUCAAGUCAUGGCCAGGAAUCAGAUGACCGUUUGUAAAAUCUGGUGACUGGCUCUUUCUUCUGUAUCCCUGGUUUCCUAUAACUCCCUGCCCAUUGGAUUCUCCUCAAUUUCCGUGUUUAUAUUUAAGUGUUUGUGUAUAUAUGUAAAAAAAGAGCCAUGUACACUAGAAUCAGUAAAGAGGCAUGACCCAUUAUGAA